CUCUGCAAAUAUAUAUAAUCACGAUUUUAUUAUUAUUUCUUCAACUGCAGAAACCCUAGAACCACAAAUUUACAAAUCCAACGCUUAGGAGAUCAAAAUCGACAAAUUCCCCUUGUCAAGAUUCAACCAUUUUCACAAAUUUUGAGGGUAGGUUUAAGGUUUUCAUAAUUGCAACCAUCAUGAGGUUGAAGAGAGGGAAUAAAGUGGAUUUUGUGAGCAAAAAGGAGGUGCCUGUUGGACGGCGUCAUGCUGAAAUUAUCUCUGGCAAUGGGCAUAAUUUCCAUCUGAAACUUGAUUAUCCGGGGCCAUCAAAUGAUUUGGUGGAUAAAGUGUCUAGGAAGUCUAUUAGGCCCUCCCCUCCUCCCGUUGAAGGCAUGGGGAAUUGGGUGACUGGUGAUAUUGUAGAGGUUUUUUAUAGUUUUUCGUGGAAGACUGCUACAGUUCUGAAGGUUUUGGAGAGAGGUCAUUAUUUGGUGAUGCCACUUGGAGCUUCUGAGGAAUUCUGUGUUUCCAAAUCACAAGUCAGAGUGCGACAAUCUUGCCAAGGCAACAAAUGGGUUGUAAUCAAUAAGGUGCUGCAACAGGGUUCUGGAAGGUUCAAAGAUGUGAAAUCUAGCAGGCCGUCAACUUUAAAGAUCAAACUGCAGACAGGAGAUGAUUCUUUUGCCAAUCAGGAAAAUGCUGGAUUGCAGGAACAUCAUAUGGCUUCUUCUAGAACUCAGAAAAGAGCAUAUCCAUGCCGCACCUCCCUUCUUGAUGCAUACACCGGAAAUGCACAGAAAAAAAGAGCAAUUGAGAAAAAUGCUGUGCGCCAGAGAUUUUUCCCAGAUCUGUCACCCAAAAAGGGCCACUGUUGGAGGCAUGCAUUCCUUGCUUCCAAAUGUCUAAAGAUGAUGCUGGGGUUGGCACCGUUUUUUUGGCAUUAACAAUGAGGCAGUAUCUGCAAAUACUUCCCCACAAAAUAAAGCCAAUUCAUGGCUAGCCAUUGGUACCAGAUAUUGACUUAUUAUACUGGUUCAUUAAUGCAUCUCAUUCAGGCCAGCUUUCUAGAACUGUCAAAAUAUAUUCAGCUGAAGGAAGCUGCCAUAAACAUCCUGAUACUGAAGGUUCUUGUGCUUAUUUUAGCUGUUUGCUGAUUGAUCUGUGCUCUUAUUCUUCAUAUAUGUGGUGCACAUAGUUAUGCUCUUUAUUAUUGUGAUACCAAAUCCAUCAAUUCUAUCUAGAAGAGGCAAUUGGAACCCUUGCACUUAGCAGGACUCCAGUUGGUAGUUUUAUUUGAAAGAUGAUGUGGUUAUAGAAGCCUGAAUUCACUUAAUAACUUGAGUACAUUAUGGAGGUAAAAUUCUUAUUCUAAGUGAUAAUUAAUAGACAAAUGGUGCCAGUAAAGAAAAAUCAAGUAAAUGCGACAUGUCAUACAAAACAUUGCGAGUCUGAACAUUCAUUACCAUGUUCUCUCUCUCUCUCUCUCUCUCUCUCACACACACACACACACACCACACACACACACAGGUUUAUUUCACAACAGGAUGGUUUACUACAACAACAAUCACAAGCCUUAAUCCCACUUGGUGGGGUUAACAUGUUCUAGCUUUCUAACCAUCUCUGUUCAUAACCAUAUCUUUUGUAAGGCUAUUAUACCUUAUCGCAUGUUUAAGGGUUUCUUGUCAAGUUUUUUCAAUCCUUUUCUUUUCCUUUUCUUGGUAUUUCUCUACCUUUCUUGAUACGAACUUGUUCCUUUUCAUCCACUCAUGUCAUAGGUCUGUUUACUGGUCUUCUUCUUAAUGUCCAAAAAAGGGUGCCCCUAAUGCAAGAGACUUCCUGCAUUGUAAGGAUUGGGGAGGUUCAUAUUUGUACACAACCUUACCAUCAUCUACGUAAAGUAAUUGUACACAUUUUGAAAUUUAUGUAGUUCUUUUCCCCACUCUUUCCUUCAACUAUGUCUUGCUUUGCUAACAACACAUUAUUUGGGAAUGAUGUUAAUAAGAAGUGGAGUACAUAACAAUGAUUGUGAUUUUUGGAAUCUCAUAGAUUUCUAUCCCAUUGUCAUGUGUCUUUGAUAAGUAAGCAUGUAUUGCCAAGUUGAGGAAUAUCAUUGUCGUUAUCGCAAAAAAUCAAAUAUUGAUACCACUAGGUGGGGUCGGAUUUAUGAAUUCUAGCUCAGCUAUCGUCUUUACCGAUGGCCAUAUCUUUUUUAAGAUCAUUAUAUUUCAUAUCAUGCUUACAGGUUUCCUACUAAGGUGUUUUGUUGGUCUUCUUAUACCUCAUUUGCCAUAAACUUCUUUCACUCAAUCUACUCACUUCACAGGUAUGCCUACUGGUCUUCUCAAAUGUCUAUACUGUCUUAAUCUCAACUGUUUGAUUUAAUAAAGAACCAUCUAUACUUGGUGUGGUCAUAUGAAAUAGUUUGAAGUGAAUAAUAAGCUUCUGAGCUUUAAACAGGAAUAUGAAGAAUUCUUAUGUGGAGCUGAUACUUUGUUGAAACCCUAGAGUGGUCAAGAAUGAAGCUGACUUUGUGACUGAAAGAGGAACAAAUUUCUUUUUAUGAAAUUCUGCUAGCCGCUUGAAUUAAGAGUAUUCAUGUGUUUAGCCUCUUCAUUUGCAGUUUAUUUCCUUUUUAUAUGAAGAACUGUAUCUUUUUGGCAUUCUCAACUUACUUUUCCUUUAAAUAAAAUUGUUCUAUUAUGAGGGAGAAAUGGGGUUAUGGGAAUGGGUGUGAUUACACUUUUUUUUAGGUUAGUGCAAUAAAUGUAUAUGCAUUUUGGCCAUAGCAUAAGAUGUCUGUUUUGUCUAUAUGUGAUUUAAUGUUAUUUUUGGUCUAGAUGUUAACUUAUUUUGUAAAAAAGGGAUGUGGGAAUUUUUUUGUGACCACUGAUUGACUUUCAACCUGGAUAAUGUAGUCGAGACAUCUACAAGAUACAAUCUGGAUUAUGAUAUUGUGAAAGGAGAAAUUGGCAUAGAAAGUGAAGCCCAUAAAGCAAGAAAUCAUCUAUGUUGGGGCUAAAAACUUCAUAUUUUUUACUUUUGUGAGACUCCUUAUUUAUUGUUUAUUAUGUGCUCGACUUGUUAUCAGCCAUGUGGUUAAUGUCAUUCAUUGGGCGUAUCUGUGAAGUUUCAGUUAAGUAUCUGAGAUGUGAUUUUGUGUUUGAUGCCAUUGAAGUUCGAAUAGUAAACAUGUCCAAAGGUUUCUGGAGUUUACUGAAGCUGUUGAGACUCGUGGCAAAAAAAGAAGCAACUUCCCUACGAGGUCUCCUGUUUUCACAGCUAUCUGGAGCCUUAUGAUGGGGGCAUGUAAGAAGGUCUGAUAAUCUCUCAAAAAUUAUCCAUCAAGAGGGUUUGCACCCUUAAGGCAGAUGAUCUUUGAUAUAUUUUCAUUUCUUAUGUAAUCAUCGCUCUCAAAAAUUUAGUUUGAGCCCUUAAGGUAGCUGAUCUUUAAUAUAAUCUCACUACUUGUGUACCAUCAAGAGGGCUUGUGCCCUUAAGGCAGCUGAUAUUUGAUGUACCAUCAUUACUUGGUUAGAGUGGAAGAGAGACACACAGGAAUAUCAGAAAAGUUUAAAUAGUCUUGUAAUGUAAAGUUCAAAAGGAGGCUCUCCCCCAUGCCCGGUAUGUCGAGUUACUUGUUUGGACUUGAAUCCACUUUCUCAGUAUAAGCAGUUUCAGUAUGAGAUCCGAAGAGGCUGCUAUAGUUAAAAGGCUUUCAGCAUGACGUACUGUACCUCUCUCAAAACUAUCCAUCAUGAGAGCUUACGCCCUUAAGGCAGCUAAUCUUUGGUAUUCUAUCAUUACUCACGUACACAUUUCUCUCAGGAACUAUCAGCUUGAUGGUUUGGGCCCCCUUGGGCAGCUGAUCUUUGCUGUACUAUCAUCUCCUAUGUACGCAUCUCUCUUAAAAACUGUCAUCAAGAGGUUCACGCUCUUGGGCAGCUGAUCUUUGUUAUACCAUAAUUACUUGGUUAAAUAAUGAUAAAGUUAAAUAACAAGCAUAUAUCGAGGAAAUUUUCUUCCUAUUGCCUUCGGUAUGACUUGAAAACUGUGCAUAUGGGCUUCAGGCAGUUUGUGCGGGACCUGAUGCAAUCUUAAGCACCAGCACAUAACUUGUACAUGAUAAGCGAAGGACCAUGGUUUUCUUUUUUCUUUUUUUCUUUUUUUAUUGUUAUUUGACAAGUAAGUUUGUGUAAUUGGGGCAAGGGUUAGGGCCGGCACCCCUUCUUGUUGACUCAUUAAUGUGAUCUAGAAGAUUGCUCAAGAAUUUUAAUUUAA